GGGCUCAUGGCGCAGCUUGGUAGCGCAACUGACUCUUAAUCAGUGGGUCGUGGGUUCGAAUCCCACUGGGCCCA
rnacentral:tRNA from 1 species